rnacentral:rRNA from 1 species
CCCUUAGAUGUCCUGGGCCGCACGCGCGCUACACUGAGUGUCUGAGAUACGAGUCUGCCUAGCCGGCGAGGUCUAGGUAAUCGCUGAAAGACACAUCAUGCUUGGGAUAGAUUAUUGCAGAUAUUAAUCUUGAACGAGGAAUUCCUAGUAAGCGCAAGUCAACAGCUUGCGUUGAUUACGUCCCUGCCCUUUGUACACACCGCCCGUCGCUACUACUGAUUGGAUGUUAAAGCGAGGUUCUCGAACUGCUAGCGACUUAGCUUCGGUGAGGUCGCCGUGGGGGAAGUGAACCUAGCUUUGGUGUCUAGAGGAAGUAAAAGUCGUAUCA